rnacentral:lncRNA from 1 species
CCUGGUGAGCACCUGUGCCACACGGCAUCCUGGGACAGCUUUCAGCGCUGGGUCCCGCCGGCCCCAACAGCCGCCCCGGCCCCCAAACAGCCGGCCCAGACCCGGGCAGGAACGAGGCGAUCGGGUGGCUGUGGUCAGGGUGUCGGAGCCCCCGACACCCUUCUCCUGUUUUUCCUGCGUUCUGAAUCCCGGGAGAGUCAGCGGCAGAAGUCGGACAGACGGAAAUAAACCUGCUUGCUCUGCUCCUGCUUGGAGCGGGUUCGGGGCCAGGAUCUCGGGCCGCAUUCAUUUACCAGCGGUGAGAAAAUCGUUCCCGAUCACGGCGCCCGCACCAUAAGUCACAUCCGAGCGUUUUUAUUAAGACCACGUAAGGAUCGGGAGAAAUGAGGCAGCCAGCACGUGAGGCCCCAGGUCCUGGAAGCCAUAAUCGGGCGGGAAUGGCGUAAAUGGCGCAGCGAACGGGCUUGUCCUUAGUUUCCUACAACAAUGGCCGCUCCCAGCACCUCUCCAUCAAACCCGAGAGAGGGCUCAUCACGAGACGGGAGCCAUUUCUCGCCCAUUACUGUACCAGCGCUGCUGAUUUAUUCAUUACUG